AUUUUGAAAUACACACAGAUUUUGUAAAGGUCAUAUUCAGCAUAUCUAUAUCUAUAUGUCUCUUUAAAAAAUAAAACUUUUUAUUUUAGAGACAAAAAUCAUUUUCUCUUUUAUGCAGUUUAUGUUAUUUUAGAUGCACAAAAACAUACUGCGUUGUAGUAGUUUUUGACAGAUACAUUCAUAUUUUCCGGGACAAGAACCAGUAUCCCAUGCAAUUACUGCAGAGGAAAUGGGGGCUGCAUUGGGCACAUCCUCAGGAAACCAGCGUCCAGCACCACACACCAGGCCCUGACCCUUUCCCUUUAUGCAGGGAAAGAGGAAGAGAGGCCAGCCCCGCAACGACUGAAGGAGAGAUUGAGAUAUUGCAAGAAGGGAGCAACUGAACCUGACAGCAACUGAACUGGACUGGACAGCAACUGAACUGAACUCGUCAGCAACAGAACUGAACAGCAACUGAACUGAACUGGACUGGACAGCAACUGAACUGGACUGGUCAGCAACUGAAAAGGACUGGACAACAACUGGACUGGACAGCAACUGAACUGAACUCGUCAGCAACUGAACUGAACUGGACAGCAACUGAACUGGACUGGUUAGCAACUGAACUGGACAUCAACUAAACUGAACUGGACUACAACUGAACUGGACAGGACUGUUCAGCAACUGAACUGGACUGGACAGCAACUGAAUUGGACAGGAACUGAACUGGACAUCAGCUGGACUGGACUGGUCAGAACAGUGUGGAAGCGAGGGCGAUGUGUCGUCGAGCCCACGUUACACGAAAGCGAUGGGUAAGAGAACCACGGGCUGCUGUUGGUUUUUGAAAAAGCUUCAGUUCUCGGGAAUUCUACCCCCGCUCCCUGUUUGCAUAACAAAAACCUUACACUCUCUCAUAAAUCUUAUGUACACCGAAAGUCAACAAGGACGUAAAUGAGUCUUGCGCCACCUAUGUUUGAAAUAGGGGAAAGAACUGACAAAUAUUCGCAAUUGUAAUUACUAUUAUUCAUAGAGGACAGUCUUGUGUCAUUUAGCUGUAAAUAUAUUCAAGUUUUUGAUAUCGGUAGUAUUUGAAUAUCACCCAGAGAAGGCUGAAUUGUAAAGCUUUAUAACAUUUUCCAUGAUCAUUUGGUAAUCAAAACAAAAUGAAAGUAAAAGAAGAAUCCUUUUGAUCUCUUGACGUAUACAUAUCUAACAAUGAAUAUACAUGUAUAAAAACAAGCAUGGAUUAACUGUAUAUAUAUUGUGCAAUUAAUUAAUCUAUAUGGAUUAUCUCAUGUAAUUUUUUUAUUAUUAUUUUCAUGUUUUAUGAACACCAUAUGGAUUAAGAAAUUAUAUUAUUUUAUGUUUUAUGAACACCAAAUGGAUUAAGAAAUAAAAUUAUUUUUAUGUUCUAUGAACACCAAAUGGAUUAAGAAAUUAUAUUGUUCUUAUGUUUUAUGAACACCAAAUGGAUUAAGAAAUUAUAUUAUUUUUUUUUUUAUGUUUUAUGAACACCAAAUGGAUUAAGAAAUUAUACAUGUAUCAUUUCUAUGUUCUAUGACCACCAAAUGGAUUACUCUUAUAGUAAAACAAAGAUUAAAAGACCAGUUUAUCCGAAAGUGUUAUAGCGAAAUCAACAUUCCUUCUAGAGUUCGUACUUAUAAACUUUUUAAACCAGAAUUUGAAUGUUAAAAUUACAAAAUAUCUUACUCGGGAAAUAUCUACUUGAUAAAAAAAAACCCACCUGAUGUAAAGUCAUGUGGAGAACUGUUAAUGUAUAUUCUUGAAAUGUAAGAUUUCGUUUGUUCUCCAUGUCUGAUCUUUUUUUUUCCUGCACCCUUUUUAUUAAUAUCUUAUCUGACCUUUAUAUCUCAACAUACAUGUAUUUCACUAAUUAUUUCACCCUAUGUACUAUUUGUAUGUAUAUGUAUUUCACUAAUUAUUUCACCCUAUGUACUAUUUGUAUAUACAUGUAUUUCACUAAUUAUUUCACACUAUGUGCUAUUUGUAUAUACGAGUAUUUCACUAAUUAUUUCACACUAUGUGCUAUUUGUAUAUACAUGUAUUUCAAUAUUUAUUUCACUCUAUGUGCUAUUUGUAUAUACAAGUAUUGCAAUACUUAUUUCACCCUGUGUGCUAUUUGUAUAUACAAGUAUUUCAAUAUUUUUUUUACCCUAUUUGCUAUUUGUAUAUACAUGUAUUUCAAUAUUUAUUUCACUCUAUGUGCUAUUUGUAUAUACAAGUAUUGCAAUACUUAUUUCACCCUGUGUGCUAUUUGUAUAUACAAGUAUUUCAAUAUUUUUUUUACCCUAUUUGCUAUUUGUAUAUACAUGUAUUUCAAUAUUCAUUUCACCCUAUUUGCUAUUUGUAUAUACAAGUAUUUCAAUAUUUAUUUCACCCUUUGUGCUAUUUGUAUAUACAUGUACAUGCAGUUCAAUAUUUAUUCCACCCUAUGUGCUAUUUGUGUAUACAUGUAUUUCAAUAUUUAUUUCACUCUAUUUGCCAUUUGUAUAUAGUGUAAAACUUAUACCGUACGAAUUUUGAUGCACCAGAUGCGCAUUUCGAAAACAAUGUCUCUUCAGUGAUGCUCAACCGAAAUGUUUGAAAUCCAAAAUAACAAUGAAGUUUUAGAGCUAUUAUAGGGGAAAACAGUGUGCCAAAAAAGUGGAGUCAAAUUCCUCGAAGGAUAAGAGCUAUGAGUGAGGGAGAUAAUCCUUAAUUUUGAAAUGAAUUUGUAAAUUUUAUAACAGCAAUUAAAUAUAUAUCCGUAUUUUCAAGCUAUAUAAAUGUAUUUCAAUAUUAUUUCACCCUAUGUACUAUUUGUAUAAACAUGUAUUUCAAUAUUUAUUUCACCCUAUGUGCUAUUUGUAUAUACAUGUAUUUCAAUAUUUAUUUCACCCUAUGUGCUAUUUGUAUAUACAUGUAUUUCAAUAUUUAUUUCACCCUAUGUGCUAUUUGUAUAUACAUGUAUUUCAAUAUUUAUUUCACCCUAUGUGCUAUUUGUAUAUACAUGUACUGUACAUGUAUUUCAAUAAUUAUUUCACCCUAUGUACUAUUUGUAUAAACAUGUAUUUCAAUAUUUAUUUCACCCUAUGUGCUAUUUUUCAAUAAUUAUUUCACCCUAUGUACUAUUUGUAUAAACAUAUAUUUCAAUAUUCAUUUCUCCCGAUGUCAUUUGUAUGUACAUGUACAUAGUUGGAUCAAAUAAAGAGAACUAAAUUGAAA